CCUACGGGUGGCAGCAGUGAGGAAUAUUGGUCAAUGGACGAGAGUCUGAACCAGCCACGUCGCGUGAAGGAUGACUGCCCUAUGGGUUGUAAACUUCUUUUAUAUGGGAAUAAAAUGUUCCACGUGUGGGAUUUUGUAUGUACCAUAAGAAUAAGGAUCGGCUAACUCCGUGCCAGCAGCCGCGGUACUACGGAGGGUGCGAGCGUUAUCCGGAUUUAUUGGGUUUAAAGGGAGCGUAGGUGGAUUGUUAAGUCAGUUGUGAAAGUUUGCGGCUCAACCGUAAAAUUGCAGUUGAAACUGGCAGUCUUGAGUACAGGAGAGGUGGGCGGAAUUCGUGGUGUAGCGGUGAAAUGCUUAGAUAUCACGAAGAACUCCGAUUGCGAAGGCAGUUCACUGGACUGCAACUGACACUGAGGCUCGAAAGUGUGGGUAUCAAACAGGAUUAGAUACCCUUGUAGUC
rnacentral:rRNA from 1 species